rnacentral:rRNA from 1 species
AACGAACGCUGGCGGCGGACUUAACACAUGCAAGUCGUACGGUAAGGCCCUUUCGGGGGUUCACGAGUGGCGAACGGGUGUGUAACACGCCUGUAACCUUCCCACAACUUUGGGGUAACCCUCGGAAACUGGGGCUUAUUCUCGAUAUGUUCUCCUGCUGCAUGGUGGGGGUUGGUAAGAUCCGGCGGUUGUGGAUGGACUCGCGGCCUAUCAGCUUGUUGGUGGGGUAGUGGCCUACCAAGGCGGCGACCGGUAGCCGGCCUGAGAGGGUGACCGGCCACAUUGGGACUGAGAGACGGCCCAGACGCCUACGGGAGGCAGCAGGGGGGAAGAUUGCUCAAGGGGCGCAAGCCGGAUGCAGCAACGCCGCGGGCGGGAUGACGGCCUUCGGGUUGUAAACCGCUUUCAGCAGGGACGAAGCUUUUUGCGACGUUACCUGCAGAAGAAGCACCGGCUAACUACGUG